UGUACAGAUUUCUCCCAGCACAGUCAACCUGCAGGGCACUGGAAUGCAAAGACUUUAGCCCACACAAAGAGGAGAGGAAACAGAGUGAGCACUGAGACUCUGAAGACCUGACAACCUACAUGCCUCCAUGGGGAACACCAGUUUUACGGAAGGGAAGACUGCCCUGUCUGUGGGUGGCUCUUCAAUAGCCAGGGGAAAGACUUCCAUCACAAUGGGCAAAUCCUCCAUCACCCGUGGGGUCACCACUACCUCUAUGGGCGACUCUACCAUUACCAGAGGCAAAACCACCAUCUCCCUGGGCAGAGCCAGCUUUAGCAGAGGCAAAACUACAACCUCCAUCCGUAAGGCCUUCAUGCCCAAGCGCAGGACCAAAUAGAUGGAAAAGAGAUCGGCAUACGCUGAAACAAAGAGCAAGACUUCAACGGCAAGGAAGAGCACUGAGAAGGAUGAGACAACAGAUCUAGAGCAAGAGGAAGACUCAAAAGCCUCAAAAGGAAAGGCUUCUCUUCUACUAAGAAAGACUUGCUUUACAAAAGGGAAAAUCAGACUGAUGAAAAGCAAAAAGGCCAUCUCAUGGGGGAAGACGCUUCUUUCGAGGAGCAAGACCAAACUGAGGAAGGGAGAGACUGCAUUUGUGGUGGGUACAACUACAAUCACUCAUGGGGAGACUACUAGUUCUUUGAGCAAGGCCACUUUAAGUCAAGGGGAGAAGUCUGUCACUGUAGUUAAGACUUCCCUCAAAAGAGGCAAAGAAAAGCAAUGGAAUCUCUACUGGGAUUUUCAUCUGUGACUUAAAGACACAAAUGUAACUACAAACAGUAUAUGUACAGUGUAUGUGUAUAUUUCCAGAAAGACUGACUCUGAAGUAGAGGGUACAAGAAGGUUGGAUGUCUUGUGAGAUGCAAGUGUUUGCCAGCAUGCCAUAGAAUAGCACACAAAUGCAUUCUAAAGGGCAAAACGAAGUGUAUGUGUACUAUAAAUUAGCUUGGAAUAAGAAUGAUGUCUUUGUCCCUGAAGGAGAAUUUAGUUGAUUUGAAGAUAAAGACUUGUACGAGAGAAUAUGUUCAGAUACCAGAUGCCAAACUGGUGUACAUGAAGAGAACAUGCAUGCAUGGAUGUGUGAGGGUGUGCACUGCCACAAGCUCUUAUUGUUCACAUGCAGAAGGGUUUGAGUUGGAUGAUCCAGAUCUGGAUCUUGCAAGUGGAAUUGUGUUAACUAGUUAAACAAAACUAACCAAGUCAUAGUAAAAAGUUUAUGAAAUUAAUUGCAAUUAAAAUGUGCCUUGUUAACAGACCUCUUAAUCUUGCAUUAGUGUAAACAAUAUCAACCAGUAUAACAGUGAAUUAAGUCAGAAUUGUCAAUAAAUAGACCUUUAAAAUGGUUCAACAUUCUAUGUGUCUCUCUUUAACAAAUCAGAGGGUUCCUAAGCAGGUCACACACUCACCAGAAAGUAUGAUAUGAGCCUAGUCGCAUCUUGUGUUAAAGGCACAGCACACUGUGCUGCUAUUCUUAUGUCAGACUGCACAAUCAUAGCCAAGACAUUCAGGUAUAACUAAAUUGACUACACAUAUCGGGAAUCUGACAUAUGAAACACGGGAAAGUAGAUUACAUCCUUGUGUUUCAGCCUCAGUAAAAACAACACCUUUUUAAAUGCCAUGUACAGUACAACUCAAGGCAUUGGAUAGCAGUUCUAGGGAGGCACAAUGCCACGGAACUGAGUGAUGUCACCACUGAUUGUGCAGCUCAACAAUGUGUUCUUCAGUGCCUCGCUUUAGCAACGGUACAAUGCGGUCUACUGUCCGCUCUGCCCCCAGAUAGAACUAAGGCCUCCUACGGCAGCCUCUGUCCAUUCACGGCACACAGGGUAGGUAUGUGGCCUUGCGAAGCCCACGUUACACUGCUCAACAAGUGCUUUAUGCUGCUGCAUGGGGGUUGCUCUCACCACGCAUAGCAUUCUGGUUCCAUCCUGACACUAGCUGUUUGGACUGUCACACCCAGCCGGGCACUGCCUGAGUGUGUUGAGUGGUGAGAUGCGACGCUGCCAGGGCAUACGAUGAGCCACCAUAACCUCAUCGUGUAGGCGCAGGAGACCUCAAGAUUCCCAAGGGAGCAUAGAAAAAAUCUAACCCUGAACGUGCUCCAGGUCAGGUUAUCAAGGCUGGCUGCUUGAGGGGACCUCCUGGAGCUUCUCCACCACUUUCGGAUUCGCCAUGGGUAACACGAGUAUCACUGAGGGCAAGACGGCCCUGAACCUGGGAAGCACAUCGAUCAAGAGAGACAAGACCAAGAUUUUGAUGGGAAACUCCUCUAUCUCCCGCGGGAAAAGCACAACAUCCCUGGGCUCCUCCACCAUUACCAGUGGCAAAAUGAAGAUUUCCAUGGGUGCCGCCUCUUUUAGCCGAGGCACCAAGUCUACGUCCUUCCGAAAGGCUUUUUUGCCCAAGAGGAAGACUCUUUAACGGGAAGUAAGGCUAAAUCUAUGGGGAGGGUAUAGGGUGCUGGGUGUGGGAUGUGGGGACUGUAUCACCAAGCUGGGAAAAAAAGAAAACAAAAGCAAAUAUCACCAACAGCCAAGAAAACAUCAUCAUCAUCAUCAUCAUCAUCAUCACAGUGUACUUUCUGUGGAGAUAAUUCACUGAAUCUUGCAUCGCUUUCUUGCCAUUGCAAAAAAAAAAAAAAAAACCUUUACCUUUCGGAACAAGUUUCUUAUUUUGAUUUCAUUACUUGGGAAUACAUCAUGAAUGCAGAGUUCUUGAAUCACCGGAGUCCACACCUUUACAUUACUAGCUUCAGCUGUCCGGAAAACUUUCUCAAGGAGAUGCGCUAAACUGGCCAUUCCAUUUUUAUUGGAAAGUCAAGACAUGAGAACAUCGACAAGAGCUGAUCUUUGACUGCUGGAACUCUUACCUCUCAACUUUUGACCAGGGAGGCAGCCAUCAUGCCCUAUUGUACCCUACAAUGUGGUUUUGCCCUUUAGUGACAAUGCCACAGCCAUCCAUUGUUACAGAUCUUAUGGAAACCUCAAUCCAAAACAUCUUACAUUGGACUCAAGGUAUCCCGAUAGUAAAAACCAACCAACAAACAUAUAUAAACGUAUCAUGAGUGCCCUUAUUUUGAAGCUUUUUUAUUUAGCCUGACAUUUGUUUAGUCUGAGUGAAAAAACUGAUGAAACUGUGUGACUGUCUCUAGUUAUAUUAUGUCAAUGAUCUAGACUGUAUACUGUAUGUGUAACCAUUGUAGAAGAAGCAUGCGAAAAAUGCGAAAUCACUAAUGCUUUUGAUCUUAGCAUUGAAGGAACUGGACGGUGGGUGGGUUAUGGUGGGGAGUGAAAUUAACCAUGUUUCUGUUGGUCAGAACCCUUCUCCGCAAUGUCAGCAACUCUCAGUUUUAGCAAAGAUGCUUCAGAUAAACACACUGGCUCAAUUUGGGAUUUACUAUGAAAACUACACCCCCCCCCCUCCCUCUGGGUAAACUAAUUGGCAAGUUUAAACACUCCAGAAAUUCUACCUGGUUAAAGUUCGUUAUAGACUAUUCAACAGCUUUCAUAAAUAAGCAUUUACACUGAGAGACAUGACAAUGGGAAUGAGGGUUUGAUGAUUGAGAGUGAAGGAAAUAAAACGUAAUAAACUCCUGAUCUCAACCUACCAGAGAAAUACAGACACAUGACAGAGACACAACAUGUCCCCCCUAAGGGAAAUAUAAAGUAACUGAGCUAAUCGUGAUCCAAUUAAAUUAAGAACUGUUUGAGAUUUCUUUGCUAGCAGCCUUUAAUUGUAAUUCAGAUUUUUUUUUCUUGUCAAGUCCUGUGUCGCUUGUCGUUAAAUGUUACAAACAGCUCUGGCGUGGCCGCAUGAGGGAUGUGGGUUGUAGAAAAAGGCCUCUGCCCUUUUCAACAAGAGUGUCUUUGUGUUUAUAAUCAUCUGUAAGGUCUGAAGUCCAUUUUUGUCAUUCUUUGUUGUUCAUUUUUUCACCAUGCAUUUGCAUAGUAUGUGUUUCAUGUGUUUAACAACUCCUACGUUAUGUCAUCCCGAUGGUAGAACCUUGGACAGUUCGGUUCUAACCACUGUGCUGUAUGCUUAAUAAAUAUUUGUUGACAUUAA
ensembl:processed_transcript zwi zwilling